rnacentral:lncRNA from 1 species
UUUAUCCACUCGAGACAGUUAAAUUUUCCAAUUUAAAACGCGAGGCUCGCCAAGCGUUUUAAAUAUUUAAAAUUUAACUUUCGAGAGUGGAUAAAUAUCGUAUUACACGAGAUUUGGUGGUGGAAUCUGUUUCUCUAAUGAUUUUCAAACAAUACGCAGGCAAACUUAUUCCUUCUUUGCGACUGAUCUGCAAAAAGAUGUGGUCUUUCUAUGUGGCAGCAUCAGGCAUGGUCGCCUUUUUUCUUGCCGUCACUAUAGGAAAUUCAGAGGAAAACAGUAAAAUUCGACGUCAUAAUCGGAUUUUAACCAAUGAAGAACUGAGAUCAAACGAACCACACGUUGAUUAAAUUUUUU